UACGUAGGGUGCGAGCGUUAAUCGGAAUUACUGGGCGUAAAGUGUGCGCAGGCGGCCGAGCAAGUCGAGUGUGAAAGCCCCGGGCUUAACUUGGGAAUUGCGCUCGAAACUACUUGGCUGGAGUGUGGCAGAGGAAGGUGGAAUUCCAGGUGUAGCGGUGAAAUGCGUAGAGAUCUGGAGGAACACCGAUGGCGAAGGCAGCCUCCUGGGCCAACACUGACGCUCAUGCACGAAAGCGUGGGGAGCAAACAGG
rnacentral:rRNA from 1 species